GCAGCAAAAUUAAAAAUAGGGAGGGAGAGAGGGAGAGAAGAGAGGAAUUGAGGUUUGGGUGCUUUUGGGUUUUGGCCUAUAAAGCUUUUAUCUCAUCCCUCUUUCAUGCCUACCUGAAUUCUCUCCGACCCUUCUUCAGCUUUGUCCUCUUAACCCCUUUCAUUCUUCUUUCUUUCUUCUUUUCUCAAUCCGGCUUUUGGGAUGCAAUUCAGCUGAAAGGCAAUAGAUUUGAUAACAAGCGCAGAGGCAAAUAGCUCAGGUUUCAGGGCAAAAAAAAGUUUUAACUUUACUCGGUUAAAUGUAUAUGCGAUUGGAUAUCAUCCUUUUUCUUACUUGAAAUUUUGCUUCUUUCCUUUAGUCGCAUCGUGGGUUUUCUCUUUGGUGCACAUGUUUAAAUUGGGUUCUGCUCAGCUGUCUCAUUUAAGUCAUCAGUGGUUUGAGAAUUAGGGUUUUUGAUGUUAGAGUUGAUUGUUUUACUGGUGUGGGAAUUUGGAUGUUAUGAUUUGAGUUAAAUGGUAUCUUGGUUUUACUUUGUAUGAUCAUUGGAUUGUGGAAUUAGCAUUUUGUGUUGAAAAGGCGAUUGCUUCUUUGUUUGGCUGUGCACCAUCUGUGCUUUUGGAAAUUGAGUACGUUCAGGUGAAAAGAUUAUCAAUUCUAUAGUUCGUUUUGCUCCUCAUUUCAAUGGCUU
rnacentral:lncRNA from 1 species